CACGUAGGCACCAAGCGUUGUCCGGAUUUAUUGGGCGUAAAGAGCUCGUAGGCGGUUCGGUAAGUCGGGUGUGAAAACUUUGGGCUCAACCCAAAGCCUGCACUCGAUACUGCUGUGACUUGAGUCCGGUAGGGGAGUGGGGAAUUCCUGGUGUAGCGGUGGAAUGCGCAGAUAUCGGGAGGAACACCUAUGGCGAAGGCAGCUCGCUGGGACGUUACUGACGCUGAGACGCGAAAGCGUGGGGAGCAAACAGG
rnacentral:rRNA from 1 species